UUUCAUGCGAAUCCAAAUUGAAACGGAGUGAAUUUAUCAGAUUCUAAAUAAAUAUGAUUUUGAAUAUGAAUAUCAAAAAUAAAAAUUCGAUAAAUAUAAAUUUUGACUGUAUCCGACCCGAAUCUAAAUAAGAUCCAAACCCGAUCCAGAUCCGAAUUUAUUUUACAUUAUAUAUAAUAUGUAUAUAAAAAUUUGAUGUUAUAUUCGUAUUUGUAUUUUAAAAUUUAGAUUUCAUGUAAUAUAUUUUGAAAUAUUAAAAAGAGAAAUAAUUAUUUCAGGUUCGAAUUUUCGGGUUUGAGUUUCGAAUUUUUUGUUGUGUUCGGGUUCAGAUUUUUAAAAAUCCGCCCGAAUCCGAACUGUUGAAUACUAUUUUAUAUUAAUAUAAUUUAAGAUGCAGAAAUUUUCUAGACACAAAAUUCUCUUACCAUGUUUUGUAGCCAAAUAAAGUUUAGCAAUCAACAGCUAAACACCAACCAUUCCUAGUGCAAGUGAUAAAUGGCUUAUUAGUUGGUAUCCGAGACCCAAGUUCGAAUCCUCACAUUUCCAACUAAUUUUAUUUUU
rnacentral:lncRNA from 1 species